GGGGGUUUAGCUCAGUGGUAGAGCACUUGCUUAGCAAGCGCAAGGCCCUGGGUUCGGUCCCCAGCUCCG
rnacentral:tRNA from 1 species